rnacentral:rRNA from 1 species
GUGGGGAAUAUUGGACAAUGGGGGGAACCCUGAUCCAGCCAUGCCGCGUGUGUGAAGAAGGCCUUUUGGUUGUAAAGCACUUUAAGCGAGGAGGAGGCUACCGAGAUUAAUACUCUUGGAUAGUGGACGUUACUCGCAGAAUAAGCACCGGCUAACUCUGUGCCAGCAGCCGCGGUAAUACAGAGGGUGCAAGCGUUAAUCGGAUUUACUGGGCGUAAAGCGCGCGUAGGUGGCCAAUUAAGUCAAAUGUGAAAUCCCCGAGCUUAACUUGGGAAUUGCAUUCGAUACUGGUUGGCUAGAGUAUGGGAGAGGAUGGUAGAAUUCCAGUUGUAGCGGUGAAAUGCGUAGAGAUCUGGAGGAAUACCGAUGGCGAAGGCAGCCAUCUGGCCUAAUACUGACACUGAGGUGCGAAAGCAUGGGGAGCAAACAGGAUUAGAUACCCGAGUAGUCC